GACGAACGCUGGCGGCGUGCCUAAUACAUGCAAGUUGAGCGAUGAAGAUUGGUGCUUGCACCAAUUUGAAGAGCAGCGAACGGGUGAGUAACGCGUGGGGAAUCUGCCUUUGAGCGGGGGACAACAUUUGGAAACGAAUGCUAAUACCGCAUAACAACUUUAAACAUAAGUUUUAAGUUUGAAAGAUGCAAUUGCAUCACUCAAAGAUGAUCCCGCGUUGUAUUAGCUAGUUGGUGAGGUAAAGGCUCACCAAGGCGAUGAUACAUAGCCGACCUGAGAGGGUGAUCGGCCACAUUGGGACUGAGACACGGCCCAAACUCCUACGGGAGGCAGCAGUAGGGAAUCUUCGGCAAUGGACGAAAGUCUGACCGAGCAACGCCGCGUGAGUGAAGAAGGUUUUCGGAUCGUAAAACUCUGUUGGUAGAGAAGAACGUUGGUGAGAGUGGAAAGCUCGCCAAGUGACGGUAACUACCCAGAAAGGGACGGCUAACUACGUG
rnacentral:rRNA from 1 species